rnacentral:rRNA from 1 species
CCCAGACUCCUACGGGAGGCAGCAGUGGGGAAUAUUGCACAAUGGAGGGAACUCUGAUGCAGCGACGCCGCGUGAGUGAAGAAGUAAUUCGUUAUGUAAAGCUCUAUCAGCAGGGAAGAAAGUGACGGUACCUGAAAAAGAAGCUCCGGCUAAAUACGUGCCAGCAGCCGCGGUAAUACGUAUGGAGCAAGCGUUAUCCGGAUUUACUGGGUGUAAAGGGAGAGUAGGUGGCAGAGCAAGUCCGAAGUGAAAGGCGGGGGCCCAACCCCCGGACUGCUUUGGAAACUGUAUGGCUGGAGUGCAGGAGAGGUAAGUGGAAUUCCUAGUGUAGCGGUGAAAUGCGUAGAUAUUAGGAGGAACACCAGUGGCGAAGGCGGCUUACUGGACUGUAACUGACGUUGAGGCUCGAAAGCGUGGGGAGCAAACAGGAUUAGAUACCCUCGUAA